GGCCCCAUCGUCUAGUGGUUAGGACAAGAGAUUUUCAAUCUUUAAACAGGGGUUCGAUUCCCCUUGGGGCUACCA
rnacentral:tRNA from 1 species